rnacentral:rRNA from 1 species
GCCGCGUGAGUGAAGAAGGGUUUCGGCUCGUAAAGCUCUGUUGGUAGUGAAGAAAGAUAGAGGUAGUAACUGGCCUUUAUUUGACGGUAAUUACUUAGAAAGUCACGGCUAACUACGUGCCAGCAGCCGCGGUAAUACGUAGGUGGCAAGCGUUGUCCGGAUUUAUUGGGCGUAAAGCGAGUGCAGGCGGUUCAAUAAGUCUGAUGUGAAAGCCUUCGGCUCAACCGGAGAAUUGCAUCAGAAACUGUUGAACUUGAGUGCAGAAGAGGAGAGUGGAACUCCAUGUGUAGCGGUGGAAUGCGUAGAUAUAUGGAAGAACACCAGUGGCGAAGGCGGCUCUCUGGUCUGCAACUGACGCUGAGGCUCGAAAGCAUGGGUAGCGAACAGGAUUAGAUACCCUGGUAGUCCAUGCCGUAAACGAUGAGUGCUAAGUGUUGGGAGGUUUCCGCCUCUCAGUGCUGCAGCUAACGCAUUAAGCACUCCGCCUGGGGAGUACGACCGCAAGGUUGAAACUCAAAGGAAUUGACGGGGGCCCGCACAAGCGGUGGAGCAUGUGGUUUAAUUCGAAGCAACGCGAAGAACCUGACCAGGUCUUGACAUCCAGUGCAAACCUAAGAGAUUAGGUGUUCCCUUCGGG